AGAGUUUGAUCCUGGCUCAGGAUGAACGCUAGCUACAGGCUUAACACAUGCAAGUCGAGGGGCAGCAUGGUCUUAGCUUGCUAAGGCCGAUGGCGACCGGCGCACGGGUGAGUAACACGUAUCCAACCUGCCGUCUACUCUUGGACAGCCUUCUGAAAGGAAGAUUAAUACAAGAUGGCAUCAUGAGUCCGCAUGUUCACAUGAUUAAAGGUAUUCCGGUAGACGAUGGGGAUGCGUUCCAUUAGAUAGUAGGCGGGGUAACGGCCCACCUAGUCUUCGAUGGAUAGGGGUUCUGAGAGGAAGGUCCCCCACAUUGGAACUGAGACACGGUCCAAACUCCUACGGGAGGCAGCAGUGAGGAAUAUUGGUCAAUGGACGAGAGUCUGAACCAGCCAAGUAGCGUGAAGGAUGACUGCCCUAUGGGUUGUAAACUUCUUUUAUAAAGGAAUAAAGUCGGGUAUGCAUACCCGUUUGCAUGUACUUUAUGAAUAAGGAUCGGCUAACUCCGUGCCAGCAGCCGCGGUAAUACGGAGGAUCCGAGCGUUAUCCGGAUUUAUUGGGUUUAAAGGGAGCGUAGAUGGAUGUUUAAGUCAGUUGUGAAAGUUUGCGGCUCAACCGUAAAAUUGCAGUUGAUACUGGAUAUCUUGAGUGCAGUUGAGGCAGGCGGAAUUCGUGGUGUAGCGGUGAAAUGCUUAGAUAUCACGAAGAACUCCGAUUGCGAAGGCAGCCUGCUAAGCUGCAACUGACAUUGAGGCUCGAAAGUGUGGGUAUCAAACAGGAUUAGAUACCCUGGUAGUCCACACGGUAAACGAUGAAUACUCGCUGUUUGCGAUAUACGGCAAGCGGCCAAGCGAAAGCGUUAAGUAUUCCACCUGGGGAGUACGCCGGCAACGGUGAAACUCAAAGGAAUUGACGGGGGCCCGCACAAGCGGAGGAACAUGUGGUUUAAUUCGAUGAUACGCGAGGAACCUUACCCGGGCUUAAAUUGCAGAUGAAUUACGGUGAAAGCCGUAAGCCGCAAGGCAUCUGUGAAGGUGCUGCAUGGUUGUCGUCAGCUCGUGCCGUGAGGUGUCGGCUUAAGUGCCAUAACGAGCGCAACCCUUGUUGUCAGUUACUAACAGGUUCUGCUGAGGACUCUGACAAGACUGCCAUCGUAAGAUGUGAGGAAGGUGGGGAUGACGUCAAAUCAGCACGGCCCUUACGUCCGGGGCUACACACGUGUUACAAUGGGGGGUACAGAAGGCAGCUACACGGCGACGUGAUGCUAAUCCCGAAAGCCUCUCUCAGUUCGGAUUGGAGUCUGCAACCCGACUCCAUGAAGCUGGAUUCGCUAGUAAUCGCGCAUCAGCCACGGCGCGGUGAAUACGUUCCCGGGCCUUGUACACACCGCCCGUCAAGCCAUGAAAGCCGGGGGUACCUGAAGUGCGUAACCGCAAGGAGCGCCCUAGGGUAAAACUGGUGAUUGGGGCUAAGUCGUAACAAGGUAGCCGUACCGGAAGGUGCGGCUG
rnacentral:rRNA from 1 species